CCGCAACGAGCGCAACCCUUUUCCUUACUUGCCAGCAUUUCGGAUGGGAACUUUAAGGAUACUGCCAGUGACAAACUGGAGGAAGGCGGGGACGACGUCAAGUCAUCAUGGCCCUUACGGCCAGGGCUACACACGUGCUACAAUGGUCGGUACAAAGGGUUGCUACACAGCGAUGUGAUGCUAAUCUCAAAAAGCCGAUCGUAGUCCGGAUUGGAGUCUGCAACUCGACUCCAUGAAGUCGGAAUCGCUAGUAAUCGCGGAUCAGAAUGCCGCGGUGAAUACGUUCCCGGGCCUUGUACACACCGCCCGUCACACCAUGGGAGUUUGUUGCACCAGAAGUAGCUAGCCUAACUGCAAAGAGGGCGGUUACCACGGUGUGGCCGAUGACUGGGGUG
rnacentral:rRNA from 2 species